GACGAACGCUGGCGGCGUGCUUAACACAUGCAAGUCGAACGAGCGGCGGACGGGUGAGUAAUGUAUGGGGACUGCCCGCUAGAGGGGGAUAACUACUGGAAACGGUGGCUAAUACCUCAUACUAUCGGAUAACCCAUAUGGGCUUAGCUAGUAGGUGGGGUAAAGGCUCACCUAGGCGACGAUCUCUAGCUGGUCGGAGAGGAUGAUCAGCCACACUGGGACUGAGACACGGCCCAGACCCCCAGGGAGGCAGAAGUGGGGAAUAUUGGACAAGGGGGGAAAGCCUGACGAAGCCAGGCCGCGUGGAGGAAGAAGGCUUUAGGGUGGUAAAGUACUUUCAGAGAGGAGGCGUGACUCGCAGAAGAAGCACCGGCUAACUCCGUGCCAGCAGCCGCGGUAAUAC
rnacentral:rRNA from 1 species